GAGCAGAUGAUGAUAUGAAGAUGCCAUUGAUACUGAGAUUUAAAGUUAUGAAGUCGCAAAAAUCGAGCUUUUUAAAACUGAUGCUCA